ensembl:lncRNA
CGUCAUCGUCACCCCGCCUCUCAGAGGUCCGGAGAGGUUAAAUGACGCUGUUUCUCAGACAUCUUUGUCGUGCGUCGGGAUCACAUUGUUCACGUCGGUCUGUGAUUCGACAGCAUGAAAACAAACAACAGGUUAUGGUCGUAACAGAGAACAACAGACAGCGGAGCAGUGGAUGGACUACAUCCAUCCCAGCACAGCAAGGGGACGAUCUGGAGCAGCACUUCUACACUUCUACACACCAAAAAUAACAAGUUCAGUACAAACACCAUUUUAUAUGUAUAGCAGCAUCUGUUCUUGCCCUGGUUUCCAAAGAAUCUGUGUCUGCC